rnacentral:rRNA from 1 species
UACGAAGGGGGCUAGCGUUGCUCGGAAUCACUGGGCGUAAAGCGCACGUAGGCGGCUUGUUAAGUCAGGGGUGAAAUCCUGGAGCUCAACUCCAGAACUGCCUUUGAUACUGGCGAGCUUGAGUUCGGGAGAGGUGAGUGGAACUGCGAGUGUAGAGGUGAAAUUCGUAGAUAUUCGCAAGAACACCAGUGGCGAAGGCGGCUCACUGGCCCGAUACUGACGCUGACGGUGCGAAAGCG